AAGGAAGAGAUGGAGGAUAGAAGAUCAGCUGAAGCUGCCAUGAGGGGAUACUUCCAAACACCUUCGAAGUGGAAAGAAAAGACACGAGGAGAACGCCCGGUCCCACAUGUGGUGUUCAGACUGGUCGUUAGAAGGCGUGCAGGAUUGAGGAGGGUGUGGGGACGUAAGAACCCUCCUCAGUGAAUGAAAGGAUGAAGUGACUAGCUGGAAUAUUGUUGCCGAUUAUAUCGGGCUGUGGCAUCACAGAGGUGACUGGCUGCUCAUAGGCUCCAUCCUGCAUGUGAUUUAGAGUCAUCCCACCUACCCUUGUUCCCGCCUCCCCAGCAUUCCUUGCACCAUGUCCUCGCAUGUGGAUCCGCCAUUUUAGAUGCCCUGG